rnacentral:rRNA from 1 species
UACUUAGUGGCAGACGGGUGAGUAACAUGUGGGUAUCUACCCUUUGGCCUGGAAUAACACGAGGAAACUUGUGCUAAUACCGGAUAAGUCUUUACGGAGAAAGCUUUAUGCACCAUUGGAUGAGCCCGCACUUGAUUAGUUUGUUGGUAGGGUAAUGGCCUACCAAGACUAUGAUCAAUAGCUGAUUUGAGAGGAUGAUCAGCCACAUUGGGACUGAGACACGGCCCAAACUCCUACGGGAGGCAGCAGUGGGGAAUCUUGCACAAUGGAGGAAACUCUGAUGCAGCGAUGCCGCGUGAGUGAAGAAGGCCUUUGGGUUGUAAAGCUCUUUCGUCGGGGAAGAAAAUGACUGUACCCGAAUAAGAAGGUCCGGCUAACUUCGUGCCAGCAGCCGCGGUAAUACGAAGGGACCUAGCGUAGUUCGGAAUUACUGGGCUUAAAGAGUUCGUAGGUGGUUGAAAAAGUUGGUGGUGAAAUCCCAGAGCUUAACUCUGGAACUGCCAUCAAAACUUUUC